AACGUAGGUACCGAGCGUUAUCCGGAUUUACUGGGCGUAAAGCGCGUUCAGGCGGCUUGACAAGUCGGGCAUGAAAUCUCUCGGCUCAACCGGGAGGGGCUGUCCGAUACUGUCGGGCUUGAGGGCAGUAGAGGGUGGUGGAAUUCCGGGUGUAGUGGUGAAAUGCGUAGAUAUCAGGAGGAAUACCCAUAGCGAAGGCAGCUCGCUGGGACGGUACUGACGCUGAGGCGCGAAAGCGUGGGGAGCGAACAGG
rnacentral:rRNA from 1 species